GAAAUUAAGAGGAUGGUACAGCGAAUGCUGUUAAGGUCAGCAACAGAUGACCAACCGCUGCAACUUCCGAAAGAUAUCUCAUUCCCUUUUCGUUAUCCUGAGCAGAUGGAAGCAUUCGAUAAGCUUCUGGGAGAUCAGACAAUGCUCUCAUCUGUGGUGCGGUUCCUCUCAAUGUUUGGUAUGGCAGAUGUACGGGAAACUGUUGACCGCUUGAUGAAAGAAACCAUGUCAAAUGAACUGGCAAGAAUGUACAAUAUGAAGUGGCUGAAGGGGAAGGAAAAGUUUGUGGGCCUCUAGAUACUGAAUGUAUUGUAUAAAUGUGUCCAAAGGAACUUGCCGACAAAGGCUGCAACGAGGAAGGAUGUUGAAAUAGAGGUUUCAAAGUGGCUGGCUGGGGCGCGGGACCGCGAUGGGGGAAGGAAAGCAAGAAACAAAGUGUCAGAGACCUUACCUGAAGAAAAUGAAGGAAGUGACUAGACAUGUUUUUAAUUUAAAAAUGCAAAUUUAUAGAGGAUAUUUGUUUGUUUGUGUGUAAGAUGAAAUUUUAUAUCAUCAAGAGAGCUUUAAAAACAGUAUUCUCAUGAGUGGCUAUGCGCUCGUGAGAACACUGUUUUUUAAAGUUCCUUCAAUGAUAUAAAAUUACAUCUUACACAACAAACAAUAAAGUGUCUUUUUAUUUUAUGCUAAUGAAAUUUCCUCAAUAUUAACGUUAAUAUUAAAUCUGUUUUCCCCACUGUUAACAUCAAUUUUAGUUGAAUUUAAGUCCAAUUUCUCAUAAAUACAGGAAGUCUUGGGCUGAAAAAUAAGUUUGACAAUCAACGUUGAAUAGCCAUGAUAUUAUUUAUUGAAUUCAAAAAAUUUGAAUGAUGAUAAAAUCUUUAAAAAGUAGUCUCGUCAUAGAAAAGUUUGAAAUUUUAAUCAUUUCACUGUGAAAUUAUCAAAUAUAUUUUUCACGGAUACAUCAGUAAUACACUCAAAAGCAUAAAAUAAAUGACUUUUAUUUUACAUUUUCAAACCUUUACUUCAUCUGCAUAUAAGUUAUUCCACUGAUUGAAAGUCAAUAUGUAUCAAGGUAUUUUUAAAAUGUGAUAAGGGUCAGAACUACAGUAAGCGGCUCAUUUGUUUAUCUUGUUAUACUUUUGUU